rnacentral:lncRNA from 1 species
UUGGUAUAUAUUUUUGAAAGAAUGGUAUAAUGGAAUAUAUAGGAGAAAAAGAUGGCAAGGCAGUGCAUAAUUCUCGUUUUGUGUGUUUGACACGUUUAAAUUUAAUAAAGUACAAUAAAUAUAAUUUAAAACUAUUUACUUAUGGUUGUGUUUCUGUGUCUGAGAUUUAUUUCUUCUUUCACUUUGUUCUCUAACAAUAUGUAGA